rnacentral:rRNA from 1 species
UCCUACGGGGGGCAGCAGUGAGGAAUAUUGGUCAAUGGUCGGGAGACUGAACCAGCCAAGCCGCGUGAGGGAGGAAGGUACAGAGUAUCGUAAACCUCUUUUGUCAGGGAACAAAGGCGGGGACGUGUCCCCGGAUGAGUGUACCUGAAGAAAAAGCAUCGGCUAACUCCGUGCCAGCAGCCGCGGUAAUACGGAGGAUGCGAGCGUUAUCCGGAUUUAUUGGGUUUAAAGGGCGCGCAGGCGGUCUGUUAAGUCAGCGGUCAAAGCCCGGGGCUCCACCCCGGCCCGCCGUUGAAACUGGCAGG